GGGCGAUGAAGACAGAAAUAUUUCUCGAUGCCGAUUUCAAUCUUGAAUCGAUCAUCAUAAAUAAGAUAAGAUUGAUAUCUGACGACCAAUUUGUGCGUGUCUGAGCCCU